rnacentral:rRNA from 1 species
CGGGCGCAGCAGGCGCGAAAACUGCACAAUGUGGGAAACCACGAUGCGGGAAAUCCAAGUGCCAGCACUAUGUGUUGUCUGUCCUCAAGUGUUCGUAACUUGGGAAGUAAGGGCUGGGUAAGACGGGUGCCAGUCGCCGCGGUAAUACCCGCAGCACGAGUGGUGGUCAUUAUUAUUGGGCCUAAAGCGUCCGUAGCUGGCCUGUUAGAUGCCUGGGUAAAUCGAUGCGCUUAACGCAUCGAAUUCCGGGUAGACCGCCAGGCUCGAGACCGGGAGAGGYGUAGGCUACUCGAGGGGUAGGGGUAAAAUCCUGUAAUCCUUCGGGGASSACCAGUGGCGAAGGCGCUACGCUAGAACGGCUCUGACAGUGAGGGACGAAGCCCUGGGGCGCAAACCGGAUUAGAUACCCGGGUAGUCCAGGGUGUAAACGACUGCAGGACUUGGUGUCGGUGAUCCUACGAGGGUUGUCGGUGCCGGAGAGAA